rnacentral:misc_RNA from 1 species
GAAAUGCGAUAAGUAAUGUGAAUUGCAGAAUUCCGUGAAUCAUCGAAUCUUUGAACGCACAUUGCGCCCUCUGGUAUUCCGGGGGGCAUGCCUGUCCGAGCGUCAUUGCGAACCCCUCAAGCACGGCUUGUGUGAUGGGCCCUCCCGCAUCUUGGUCGUCAAGACGGGCCCGAAAUGCAGUGGCGGCUUCGCGGUUAUCCGAUCAGCCAGAGCGUAUGGGGACUUUCUCUCUGUCACACGCCCGCGGCGCGGACCGACGCCUGUCGACCUUUAUUCAUCUUUUUCUCGGUUGACCUCGGAUCAGGUAGGGAUACCCGCUGAACUUAAGC